rnacentral:lncRNA from 1 species
CAAGAUAUGUUUCUUGUAUUAUCGUUGUCCUUUAAUAAUCAUAUUUCCAAAUUAUUUUGGCGUACAAUAGGUAUGUGACCAAUGAUCAUUCAUGCCAUAAUAAUGACUUUAUUUUCAUAUAUCAUCUCAAACCUCCUUUUAGAGGUGAUGUGGUAUAUUCACUACCACUAGCACGUUCAUAUUCUUCCAAGAAUGAAUAUGUAUUCAUAAAUCAUAUGUUGUCACAUUCACAC